UGGGGAAUAUUGCACAAUGGGCGCAAGCCUGAUGCAGCCAUGCCGCGUGUGUGAAGAAGGCCUUCGGGUUGUAAAGCACUUUCAGCGAGGAGGAAGGUGGUGAGCUUAAUACGCUCAUCAAUUGACGUUACUCGCAGAAGAAGCACCGGCUAACUCCGUGCCAGCAGCCGCGGUAAUACGGAGGGUGCAAGCGUUAAUCGGAAUUACUGGGCGUAAAGCGCACGCAGGUGGUUUGUUAAGUCAGAUGUGAAAUCCCCGGGCUCAACCUGGGAACUGCAUUUGAAACUGGCAAGCUAGAGUCUCGUAGAGGGGGGUAGAAUUCCAGGUGUAGCGGUGAAAUGCGUAGAGAUCUGGAGGAAUACCGGUGGCGAAGGCGGCCCCCUGGACGAAGACUGACGCUCAGGUGCGAAAGCGUGGGGCAGCAAACAGGAUUAGAUACCCUGGUAGUCCACGCUGUAAACGAUGUCGAUUUUGGAGGUUGUGCCCUUGAGGCGUGGCUUCCGGAGCUAACGCGUUAAAUCGACCGCCUGGGGAGUACGGCCGCAAGGUUAAAACUCAAAGGAAUUGACGGGGUCAUAGCUGUUUCCU
rnacentral:rRNA from 1 species